UGGGGAAUUUUGGGCAAUGGGGGAAACCCUGACCCAGCAACGCCGCGUGAAGGAUGAAGUAUUUCGGUAUGUAAACUUCGAAAGAAUAGGAAGAAUAAAUGACGGUACUAUUUAUAAGGUCCGGCUAACUACGUGCCAGCAGCCGCGGUAAUACGUAGGGACCAAGCGUUGUUCGGAUUUACUGGGCGUAAAGGGCGCGUAGGCGGCAUGACAAGUCACUUGUGAAAUCUCUGGGCUUAACCCAGAACGGCCAAGUGAUACUGUCGCGCUAGAGUGCAGAAGGGGCAAUCGGAAUUCUUGGUGUAGCGGUGAAAUGCGUAGAUAUCAAGAGGAACACCUGAGGUGAAGACGGGUUGCUGGGCUGACACUGACGCUGAGGCGCGAAAGCCAGGGGAGCAAACGGGAUUAGAUACCCAUGUAGUCCCUGAGCGGGCUGGCAAGGCGCAU
rnacentral:rRNA from 1 species